rnacentral:rRNA from 1 species
UUUAUUCGAUGCACGCGAAGAACCUUACCUACCCUUGACAUCCAGAGGACUUUCCAGAGAUGGAUUGGUGCCUUCGGGAACUCUGAGACAGGUGCUGCAUGGCUGUCGUCAGCUCGUGUUGUGAAAUGUUGGGUUAAGUCCCGUAACGAGCGCAACCCCUAUCCUUAUUUGCCAGCGAGUAAUGUCGGGAACUCUAAGGAGACUGCCGGUGACAAACCGGAGGAAGGUGGGGACGACGUCAAGUCAUCAUGGCCCUUACGGGUAGGGCUACACACGUGCUACAAUGGCAAGUACAAAGGGUUGCAAUACGGCGACGUGGAGCCAAUCCCAUAAAGCUUGCCUC